CUUCUCCCCAGGACGGGUUGCUUGGAUUGUGGGACAUUCUUUUGUCUUCUGGGCCGAGAGGAGGGCCGCAGCUCGAACGCAGGGCCAGCAGCUGGGCUUUCCGAAGGACCAGUUGGCAGUCCGAUGGUUUGGGUACCGGGGAUUUUGCUGGGGGGAGGUUUGUGGGGCAAUGUUUAGGAUGGUUGCAGGCGGGAAAACGCCGGACAUGGUGGUCCUUCAUGCCGGGGGUAACGACUUGGGCCUUACGCCGCAACGUCGGUUGGUAAAAUGGAUGAAGCAGGACAUCAACAAACUGAGGGACCUGCUUCCGGGGGUUAUGUUGGUGUGGUCGGAGAUUGUCCCAAGGCGUCGGUGGCGGCACACGCGGGAUCCGGUGGCUAUCAAUCAAUGCAGGAAGAAAGUGAACAGCUUGAUGGCAAGCUUUGUUAGGAAGGUGGGGGGCGUGGUGGUACG